rnacentral:rRNA from 1 species
CCCUUAGAUGUUCUGGGCCGCACGCGCGCUACACUGAUGCAUUCAACGAGCCUAUCCUUGACCGACAGGUCCGGGUAAUCUUUGAAUCUGCAUCGUGACGGGGAUAGAUUAUUGCAAUUAUUAAUCUUCAACGAGGAAUGCCUAGUAGGCGCAAGUCAUCAGCUUGCGUCGAUUACGUCCCUGCCCUUUGUACACACCGCCCGUCGCUCCUACCGAUUGGGUGUGCUGGUGAAAUGUUCGGAUCGGCCGUUUGUCGCGGUUUCCGCGUCAUGUGGCUUGGAAGUUCAUUAAACCCUCCCACCUAGAGGAAGGAGAAGUCGUAACA